rnacentral:rRNA from 1 species
UAGGGAAUCUUCCACAAUGGACGCAAGUCUGAUGGAGCAACGCCGCGUGAGUGAAGAAGGGUUUCGGCUCGUAAAGCUCUGUUAUUAAAGAAGAACGUGGGUAAGAGUAACUGUUUACCCAGUGACGGUAUUUAACCAGAAAGCCACGGCUAACUACGUGCUAG